UUAUAGAGUUUUUGGUUGAAUUUUGGGUUAAAUAAAUUUUUUAAAUUAUUUUAGCCAUUGGAUUUUAAUUUGGACCGUUAGAUUUGAUUAUAUUUGAUCUAAGUCGUUGGAUUCAAUAAAUAUAUAAAUAUAAAUGUUCAUAUAAUUUUGUGAACUAAAAAAUAUUUGAAUGUGGAUUGUUGGAUUAACCAACGGUCCAAUUACUACCAUCAUCCGAUGAAGAAAAGUAACCGUUGGCUACAGACAAAACUUGACAAACUGGAGGACACACCCACAUGGGGGGGGUCCACCUCGAUUGAAUGCAGGUUAAAGGCCUUGCAUGCUGCUUGUGGAGCAAGUGACAGAGGGCAAUUGGGCUUCACAGCCCAGGUUUCAGUCACAUAAGCUAGGGUCCACUCCAAUUUGUGGCCUAAACUUGGGCUGGUAUUUAACCUCCAUUUGGGUUUUAGGUUUUAAAUUAAUUUCAGAUCAUGGGUUGGUGUGGAUUAUCUACCGUCUGACUAAUGCCUAAUGUCUUGCACCUUGCUUACACAUAGAAUAUUUUGCUUUUUGGAAUGAAGACAAACUCCACCAUUUCAUUUAUUACGGCCAUUCAAUGUGAAUCAUGAAUCAUGGACCCAUGAGGUCACGUGAAAAUUAAGCCAAUCUCACACAUUUAAAUAUUUCACCGAAUGCCAAUAUCACAAACCUGGAAGAUUAGGCCACAUGAAAGCCUUUAUACUAAUUUGGUGGCCAUCAACAUUAGUGAAUCAAAGGAUCGAGAUGAAUCUUAUUUUUCUCUCUGUCUGUGAGAGUUCUUUCCUAUGUCUGUGGCAGGACUGGUUUAGAUUUUUAAGGCCCGAGGCAAUGUCAAAAAAUGUGCCCUCAUUUUAUAUAAGAAAAUUAUUUGUUUUCACACAUAAGACAACGAUAAAAUUAUACUUAGAAAAGCACCUUAAACUUAAUAAUUUAGAAACACAGAAAAAAUAAUUUAUUUUGUAUCGUGAGAAGGAAACAAAAAAACUCUGGGUUUACAAGUAGAUAGACAAGAGUUUUGUUUUCCAUCUGAACUUUUAAAGUGUUUUUGUAUAAAUCGUGAGGUGUUUUUUCUUAUUUACUAACCUUGUCAAUAUGGGACUAAAAAAAUAAUGAUGUUUUUGAGUCUUUAAUUGAUAUGUAUAGGUAAUAAAUAGGUACUAAAUUAAACUUUUUGAUGACAUGUCAUAUGUUUUGCAAAUUUGGUCUAAAAUUUUGGUCAACGCAUUACUCUUUGUUGAAGAUUAGACUUGAAUUGGAACAAAUGUUUAAAAAUAACAACCCACAUAGCUACUAGCUACUAAUUAAAUAAAUUAACAACCAAACAAAAAUUCUUAAAAAUUGAAAAUAAUAAACAUGCACUUAGCAUUUCGAACUUAGGAUCUCUCGUUAAUUUUAAACAACAAAAACCAUUGAUUCUAAUUAAACUCCUUGAUUAUUUAGUUAAAUUUUAUAUAUUUAUACUCUUAUGAUGAAAAGAAAUUUGUAAAAAUUAAAAAGUAAAUAAGCACAAAUGGUGUUUUGAACCCAAGACCUCCUCUUUAAUUUCAAACAACAAAACCAACAAUUCUAGUUCAAUUUCUUUAUCAUUGAACCAAAUUAUUAUAAAUUUAUAUUUUUAUGAAAACAUAUAUAAAUAUACCGCUCUAAUAAUUUUAGUGCCCCCAAUUAUUCUAGGCCCCAUACGGUCGCCCGCCAGUACUGGGCCUGGGCCGGCCUUGGUCUGUGGGGCUAUCUGUGAUAGUCUCCCUUCGAUUGCCAUUUUAAGAGUCGACUGCUGGGAUUUCUCUUUUUAUUUUUUGCUUUCUUUCCACACCUUCGUCCUCGUUUUGCAGCCCCUCUUCCUCAAACCCAACCUUUCCAUAUUUUCAUCACCAACUCACACAUCAUCCUUUUCAACCAUUUUCUUCCCCCACUGUCUUCCUUUCCCCUUAACCAAAAAUUAGAUCUUACAGUUUUGGAGUUGAUCUGGAAUUUCAAUUGCUGCAUUUUAAGAUUUGAUUUUUUCUUUGGGUUUGCUUGUCACUUUUGGUUUGAUUUGGCUGUGGGUUGCUUCGAUUUAAUGGGGAUUAAGGUUUUGUUGGUUGUUUUCAGUUUGGACUAACUACUUUUGAUUUUGUCUUGUAUCUAUUUGUUAUUGGUACUUCUCUCGGCCCUUUCUACAGUUAUGGAUUUCAUGUUUACAGUGGUGGGUCAGAUAGUUCAAGAGUCAUGUUUAACUCAUCAUUAGAUCGCUUGAAGAUGACGCAUGUUGCUAGCUCUGGGAAUGUCCUACUAUACCAUAUUCUACAGAACUCCUGUAGGCUUUGGUCUUGUUUUUUCUCCUUUUUUCCUGUCGAGACUUCGGUCUCCUUUUUGUGCUUGGGUUGCUGGCGGUGGUGGAUUCAGGAGGAUUGAAGAAGUUGCUAGGUUUUUUUUGUAUUUUGCUUUUCCUAUUAUGGGCUCCAAUUUCUGUAUUGGCCGGACUGUUGUUUGUAUUUGUUUGUUUGGAGGAUCAUUUCUUUUGUUUUUGGGCCUGCUUUUUGUAAUCUUGUUCCGUUGGUAAUGAAGUUACAUUUGACAAAACAAAAAAAGAAAAAAAUUGGGUGGCCAAUCUCUUUUGCCUUCCUUUUGUCAUGUUUCUCUUCUCUUAAUUUUUUUUUAAAAACAAAUUAAUCUUUUGGAUUGUCAUAGUAUUUUCCAAAAACAAAUCUGGGCAUUAUCCAAGCCACCAGUCUAAACUCAAAGAGGCAUGAGGUCUCCAUAAAAGAAUAAUUAAAUAAAGUUGUUAAUAAAAUCAUAACAUAUAUCACUAACUUGUUUUUCUGAAGAUAGAGGCAUAUAGUAGCAAUUUCCUAAAACAGAAAUAUGUCCCCACACUAGUACAAUAGCUCGUGGACAUCUAUCUUGCACGAUACAACUAUCUAAUCCAAAUUCUUGACGAAAUGAAGGGUGUUUCUCAUUGAAAGAAUAUGUAGAGAACGUUUCAAUUGAUGAUUACGUUUGUGAUAUUGCAACCAUAUAUAUAAUGGCUUAAUCCAACAGUUGCAACUGUUAGAUGUAGUUGUGACUGUUUGAAUUGGUCUUAUCUUUUAAAAAGGGUGCUAACUAUUAACUGAAAACAUUCUUAUACUUUCAGAAGAAACUUAACCGAACAACAAAAACAUACAAACGAUUCUUGAGUUGUAUUAAUAUAUACCAAAGCCAAAGCCCGAGGUGAGUGGAUGCCUUAGUUCUCAGUUAACUAUGAGUGAGGAAGACUCACUUAUAAAGAUACUUUCAAUUAGGCUUGUGGCCGAUGUGGGACUAAUGAUCCCCAUGAGUCCCAACAAUACCUAUAUUUUCUAUUCAAACCCUAGUAACAUGUACACUUCAUGGUUCAAACACACAUAAAUUGGAAAAGUAGAUAAGCUUUCUUGUUGUGUGUCUGCACAAUUCGUCAGGUGUGGAGUUUUAUCACAAAAGGUUUAGGUAUUAGUUGGAGUGGUGUUAGAAUAUUUAACUCUUCUUUCCUCUGAAAUACGGUCGAUGUGAGAUAUUUCAACAGUAGUAGGAGUUCGUUUUAACAAAAUCUAGUAUUAGUAAUUGUAUUGUUAAAGAGAACACUAAGUGUCAUUAGAAGAGAGUAUUCACUAGAUUGACUAGUACUAAUCUUGUGUUACUAAAACAAACUACACUGAAUCUUCACUAUAUAAGAGAUAACAUAAGUUCAAAUUUCAUAUAUAAUGAAUGAUAACUAUUUUUUCCCUUAUUUUGUCAAUAAGUAAUUACUUAAUAAGACCAUCGUACGUGCAUCAUUCCUGCAAGAGCAGACCAACCCGAAAAGGGACUAGCAUACAAAAAGUAUGUCACUUAUGCAGCAUAGCAUGAGUAAUGGUUUUCCUCCGCAACAUUUACAAGCAAAUACAUAAACUAGGCUUCAACCCAAUAAAACGAUCAUACGAUGAGUCCUAACAGUGGCCACACGAGGAAAACCCUAGAAGUCCGAAAAUCAGUGACGACGGUUGAAAACAAAAAACUAUUCUACAAAAGUCAAAGGGUAAU
rnacentral:lncRNA from 1 species